GUUUCGGUGGCCAAGUGGUUAGUGUCCCCCUCAGAUGAGUGAGGUCGUGGGUUCGAUCCCCGGCUGAGUCA